UACGUAGGGUGCGAGCGUUAAUCGGAAUUACUGGGCGUAAAGCGUGCGCAGGCGGUUCUCCAAGUCCGUUGUGAAAGCCCCGGGCUCAACCUGGGAAUGGCAGUGGAAACUAGGGGACUGGAAUCUGGCAGAGGGGGGUGGAAUGCCGCGUGUAGCAGUGAAAUGCGUAGAGAUGCGGAGGAACACCGAUGGCGAAGGCAGCCCCCUGGGCUGACACUGACGCUCAGGCACGAAAGCGUGGGGAGCAAACAGG
rnacentral:rRNA from 1 species